rfam:Sideroxydans lithotrophicus ES-1, complete genome.
UCUGACGACCAUAGCAAGUUGGCCCCACUCCUUCCCAUCUCGAACAGGACAGUGAAACGACUUCGCGCCAAUGAUAGUGUGCAUCCGCAUGUGAAAGUAGGUCAUCGUCAGAC